rnacentral:rRNA from 1 species
AGAGUUUGAUCCUGGCUCAGGACGAACGCUGGCGGCGUGCCUAACACAUGCAAGUCGAACGGAACUGUUUUGAAAGAUUUCUUCGGAAUGAAUUUGAUUUAGUUUAGUGGCGGACGGGUGAGUAACGCGUGAGUAACCUGCCUUCAAGAGGGGGAUAACAUUCUGAAAAGAAUGCUAAUACCGCAUGACAUAUCGGAACCACAUGGUUUUGAUAUCAAAGAUUUUAUCGCUUGAAGAUGGACUCGCGUCCGAUUAGUUAGUUGGUGAGGUAACGGCUCACCAAGACCGCGAUCGGUAGCCGGACUGAGAGGUUGAACGGCCACAUUGGGACUGAGACACGGCCCAGACUCCUACGGGAGGCAGCAGUGGGGGAUAUUGCGCAAUGGGGGCAACCCUGACGCAGCAACGCCGCGUGAAGGAUGAAGGUUUUCGGAUUGUAAACUUCUUUUAUUAAGGACGAAAAAUGACGGUACUUAAUGAAUAAGCUCCGGCUAACUACGUGCCAGCAGCCGCGGUAAUACGUAGGGAGCAAGCGUUGUCCGGAUUUACUGGGUGUAAAGGGUGCGUAGGCGGCUUUGCAAGUCAGAUGUGAAAUCUAUGGGCUCAACCCAUAAACUGCAUUUGAAACUGUAGAGCUUGAGUGAAGUAGAGGCAGGCGGAAUUCCCCGUGUAGCGGUGAAAUGCGUAGAGAUGGGGAGGAACACCAGUGGCGAAGGCGGCCUGCUGGGCUUUAACUGACGCUGAGGCACGAAAGCGUGGGUAGCAAACAGGAUUAGAUACCCUGGUAGUCCACGCUGUAAACGAUGAUUACUAGGUGUGGGGGGUCUGACCCCUUCCGUGCCGCAGUUAACACAAUAAGUAAUCCACCUGGGGAGUACGACCGCAAGGUUGAAACUCAAAGGAAUUGACGGGGGCCCGCACAAGCAGUGGAGUAUGUGGUUUAAUUCGACGCAACGCGAAGAACCUUACCAAGUCUUGACAUCCCUUGACGAUGCUGGAAACAGUAUUUCUCUUCGGAGCAAGGAGACAGGUGGUGCAUGGUUGUCGUCAGCUCGUGUCGUGAGAUGUUGGGUUAAGUC